rnacentral:rRNA from 1 species
CGUGUAGGCGGUUUUAUAAGUCUGAUGUGAAAGCCCCGGGCUCAACCUGGGAAGUGCAUUGGAUACUGUAAGACUUGAGUACGGGAGAGGGCAGUGGAAUUCCCAGUGUAGGAGUGAAAUCCGUAGAUAUUGGGAGGAACACCGGUGGCGAAGGCGGCUGCCUGGACCGAUACUGACGCUGAGACGCGAAAGCGUGGGGAGCAAACA